CCUUUUUGUCUUUAUCUGCCUUCUUUCCUUUAGCGCUUACGUUAUAUCCUUUUAUCGUGCGUUAAGCCAGCUUGUUGGAACAUCGUCCCUUCCUAUCGCGAUAUCGUCUUAUGGUUACUUCUCUUUUUCCCUUAUCAUUAGUCUGCUUUGUAGGGUUAUAUUACUUUUCUUUUUGCUGCUGCUAAGCGCCGAAGGGUUAGGACAAGCAACAAGUACCCAUUUGUUAGCUCCGUCAAGAGCUAUAGCAAGUCCCUAAUACACCCUCCUUCCUUGGUUUGAACUUCUUACUUGGUAACUACUAUUUUGGGAAAUUAGGGAAUAACUUCCUUCAUUCCCUUCCCUAAACUCAGGACGAGUCUACGAAUCGAGAAUAGGAAGGAAAGAGUCCUCUUCUUUAGUGGACUUUCAGUAAAAAAAAAAGGUGAACGAGAGCACACCCCUUCUUCGACCCUAGGGGUGAACUCUCUUUUCUAAUUGUUGGUUUGGGAGUGAAAAUUCGUCUUCUCCCUGGAUUUCUUCUCGUGGAGAUACGAUUGAGGAAAAAAAAAGAAGUCAAGUAAAGAGCAUGUCGAGCAGGUCAAAGGCGAUCCCCCAAUAUGGGGAGAAUCGAGACGAACCUAAGCUAGGCCGAUAAGUGAUAUGAACAAAGAAGCUCGUUUAAGUAAUUGGAAGGACCAUCGAUUCUUCGGACGCCCAGCACCGGUAAGUUGCAUCUUAGUCCAACCAAGCAUGGUAUCAUUUCAUUGUAUUUCUACUUUCUGCUUUCUAAGUUCCCAAAGUAGUUAUAAGUUGUAGUUCUCCGAAAGGAAGGAGAGGUUGUUAAUGAGGAGCAGUCCCAGCACGACAAGCACAAUAAAGAAGAUCCGAGUGAAGCUGCUUGCCCAAAAGGAGUUGGAAAGACAACAGACACUUCCUUUUCUACAAUAUUUUAUUCUAAAUUCACCAUCAUCGAAUUGCAUGGAUUUAACCUAUCUUAUGCAUCUAGGUAAGCAGCAUCCACUUGUUAGCUUGAGAGUGAACUUUGCUUUCUUAACCAGUCGUGAGAUUAGGUGUUUAGAGAUCGACACCGAGUUAGUAAAGAACUUGGAAUCACUAAAGUGUUGCUUUCUUCUUUUCCAGAGGCCCCUUAAAUUGAGUUCUCCUUUUGAAAAGAGAAGUGGAAGUCUUUUGUACGAUAGUUGCAUCUUUAGUACUGAGUACCAUACCCCGUAUGGAGCCACCGUCGCAGUAUAGCAUGGCGUGCCUAUCCGCUUGUGCUUUUAGUAGCUAUUCAAUUAACCCCCUAGAGUAGGGUGGGUGACUGGCCCUACCGUUGUUGACUACUUACAUGCAUAAAAAGGUCUGUAUUUUCCCUCAAAAACUUGUAAAUCACCCAGAAUGUCAGACUCUCGUUAGUGGAUCGUGGUAGAUGGUUAUCUCUAUAAACAGACAAACCUUCAAUGGCUAUAAUAAACCUCAACACUCAUCUUAAGCAAGCCCGGCGAACUCUAGGUUAGCUUAAGAACCAAUGGAAGCAAGCUCUCACGGCAAACCUUCCGUAGUACCGUUAGGAUAUGUCAAUGGCUAUAGGUUAUAGUUAUUCUGUAAUUCAUUCUGUGGUCCCCUUAGAUAUGCUUACGAGUAUGAUGUAUGGAAAUGAUAUGGCCAUUGAUCGAAUUUCCCUAGUACGUGGGAUAUGAAUAGCCACGGGUGUAUCCUCCUAGUAAUUCAAUGGAAGUAUAGUAAUGACCUCUAUUGUAGAAAUUUCGAGUAGUUUGAUCAAAAUCGUAUGGGAUUUUUAUAGGUAGUCCACUCUGCAUGACCUUGAAUAAUUUACACAAUAUAUUGUUGACUUGUUUUUCAUCUGUUUUAGGCUUGGGUAUGGACGAGGAGAUUGUGCGGGUAGGAGCAUUCCUUGCAUCAGAAUCAGUCCCAGUACUAAUAUCCAUCCCCCGACCCCGCACCAUCACUAUCACCAGCAAAAAGAAAAGUCAGAGCUCAUGAUCUUGUUUGACCCUCCAUUCAAUCGAGCCUAACCACGAAAGAUUUUAUAAAAGACAUGGUUUUCAGCUCGUAAAGCACGAUUCUUAUCCGCGAAUGGGAUCACUAUUCUAAUCGAUUAAAGGGUUGUAACUUGCUUUCCCUUAUUCCCCCAACCUCGAAUAUGAAGACUCACUCCUACUAUCAUUCAUUCUAUUGAUAGCUUCUAGUUCCUAAUCGACAUCUUUCUCAUUAGCCUUUAAGCUUUCUUUCUGGUUCCUCCAUCCCCCCAUCUUAAUAAAGAUAACCAGGGAGUCUAUUACCAAUCCGGGUAGUUUGGAGCUGUUGUGUCUGCUCCGUCCCUCCAAUCUUUCCCCUAGCUACUAGUCUCAUCAGGUGCUCUGGGUGGUAGUUUAGUUAUUACUCCUUGUCGGUGCCUCUGCUUCUCCAUUUCCAAUGGCUAUUAGAUAAUAGAGAAACUAUUAGAUAGUGGCGCCCAUCCCCUUCCAUCUAGUAAACAAUUAUCCAUCUUACUCUACCCGUAUGGUCUACUCCCCGGGCCAGACAUAGGCGGUUUUGUUCCUAACACUCUCACUAGGGCCAGCUGGUAGAUGAAUCUAUCCGUCUAGAUAGUCUUAUCCAUAGAUUGGACAACUAUCUCUGCCUGCCAGAGAUUGGAAGUAUUCAACUUCUAUAGGCGGUUCCACUUCUAUAGCUCUCUUUCUAUUCCGGUUCAAACAAAGUCUCAACCUUCCCCAACCCUAUCCCUGAAUUACCCACUUCAUCCCUUUACCCAGGGCGUAGGCACCCAGGCCUAACCCUAUCCAUGAACCCGCCCCUUUCUCUUAUGGCCGUGCUUUCGACAAAGAAAGGUUCUUUCAGGAAAUGCAUAACGGGCGGGCCUCCUAUGGAUUCCCCCAACUCAAUGAAUGAAGGGAGGAGUAUGAGGAAUUGAAAAUCUAUAUGAAGAUUAAAACAAAAUAGAGAAAAGAUGAGCUGCUAACAUGGAGCGAGCCUCUCUUUCCUUGUUGCGGCCGCUCGCCCUACAUCAGUGCCAAAGGCUUGCGACGUGUCUGGAUCCAGAGGUGGAAGAAGGACCUCCAUCAUCUUUGUACCCAGAUCCUAUUCCUAUCCAUAACUAGUAACUGAGGGUUACCUGGUUGCCCUCACCUGCCAAAUAACUGCUUCAGGGGAUACCAACUAAUAACUAAUAGCGGGAUUUCCACAAAUGGUAAGAGUAAACACCUCUAGAAUCUACAGAUCUGAGGACCUGGCCCUUAAAAAGGGAGUGAAACGUUGUGCUCACUAAUGCUUAUUAAUAGGGCUACACUCGCUAUAAUCCUCUUAUCUUAACAGGGGCUAAAAUAAUGCAAAAAGAACUAGGUAGUAGCGCCUUUCCCUCGCUCUGAUCAGGAAGCCAUGUUAGAAAACACAUGUAUCCAACGGUGGCAGAAGAAAUUUGUGCAGGAGCUGGCAGAAGGGGAGAAUCUCAGUUGGCCUUAUCCAGUGUGAAAUCCAUUUUGAUCAAGUACUCCCUAGAGACACGGAGUAGAGCAGUUUGGUUAGCUCGCAAGGCUCAUAACAUGAGUCACGCAAGUUCAAGUCCUGUCUCCGUACGACAUUAAUCUGUCCAUAUUAUGUCACGUUCAUUGACCUUAACGUCCCCCAGAGAGAACUAGAACUCGUCGGGAGCUAAAGCAAGAUUGUUAGAUUCUAUUUAAGCAGUUCUUAAUUUGUUUCAGGCUAAUGCUAGUAAUCUCGAUCUAUCUUAUCACCAUUCUAAUCAGCUUUUGCCCCUAUUGAGUAAGUAAGGCCCCCCCUCUCCUUUACUAAUAGGGGGGUCGGUAAGCUAAGUCUCCAGCCCCUUUACUAGUAAGGGAAAAACUGUAUCGAGUAAGCCCAGCUACAAGUACCGAAUCAAGCUUUUCUUCAAUAGGAUUAGCAUAGGAAUCAUUAAUAGUUGAAUUCUCUCCCAGAACUACCCAAUCUGUUUUAAACUCACAUUUACCACGUCGCAUUGACAAGUUCAAAAGUAGCCCAACCUAUACAAGGGCGUAACGAGUAGUCUACUCAUGUACGAAAGAGGGAUAUUCCGACUCAAUGCAAGAAGGGGAAGGCGACGGAAGGAACUUCUUGUAUACAAUAAAGUUGUGGCACUUGAGGAAUAAAAUCCGCUGCUUGAGUGAAUGAAGUAGGAACCGUUAAUGAAUUUCUUGAAGCAAGGGAUGACUCCUCAAUUCUCAAUUCUGGUAAGGCAUUACUAACAUCUUGGAAUGGAGUAGUUGCUGAUCCACCCACUUCUUCACGGGUGGACCUUUUACACCUCGCCCACGACCCAAAGAUUCUAUUGUGCUUCCUCCGGAUAGGAAGAAUAUUUCACGCCAGAAAUGUUGACUUCUGUUUCUCUGGUCCAGUGCUUUACUCUAACCAACUGAGUGAGCGAGAGAGGGAUUGAACGAGGAUGGCAAGCCCGACAGCAGCCUUAUUAGAGUGAGGCUUCUAGCUUUCCUCUAACUGACGGGGGGUUUAGGAUAAGAAGAGGGCUAAGCUCCUUAAAGAGGAUGGGACUUGGUUUUUUCGUUGUUGACGUUGGAGCAAUCAUUUUCUAUCUAAACGGAAAUCUCAUUUGAUAAUCCCUAUAGAUGAUGAGUGGAAUAAGCCUCUGGAUGAUGAUGUUAUGGAACUUCAGACCCAUAUGUUGCAUGGCCUGAUUCAUUGCAACGGGUUUGGUCAUUUGGUCUGCAUCAAUGGCAUUGAAGGCGGUUCAAAGUACCUAUGUGGCAGAGAAAUCAAGAAGAUAAUUCGUCAUUACAGAGACAUGAGUGAAACCCAGCUAGUUACAAUCAAAGAUCUACUCAGGUUUAUUCUAACUAUAACAUUGCGUGCUCCUAUUCAAAUUAACAAAGCUACUUCAGCUCCUCCAUCUUCCGUCAUGAGACCCCCUAGCAGACUCUCCACCCAGAGCAAGCCUUUGAGAAAAGAGAAGUUAACAGCUUAUAGGAGGUUCUAUACUAUAGUUGCGUGAAUGGAUAGUAGAUGGCCUACAAGAAGACUGGAAUUUACAGCAGAAGUCAUUGUGGACGCAUUGAAAGAGAAUCAAGCACAUGGCGGCAUGACAUGACAAGAUUUGCGAGAUGCAGCUCGGCUUCAUAUAGGUGAUACAGGUCUGCUGGAUCAUGUUCUAAAAGAAAUGAACAAUGUGAUUGUAGGAAAUCACGUUGUACGUCGCACAGUGACCCAGUCACUCGAAUUUUUGAAUAUUCCAUCCGUAAGGUUGGUAAUGAGGCUAACGUUUCUGAGCCGCAAAAAGAAGCACCUCGAAAGCUUCUUACAGUAUCAUCUCUGGUGCCAGGUCUUGAUGUUUACAAUGAUUUGGUUGAUCUGUAUAACAAUGUUCUGUUAGAUUAUAGAGGAUCACAUCUAGUGGAAUUGGCUACUCAGGCUAUUCUGGAUAGUAAGCACUUUGCGAAGGAAUGGCCGUUUGUUGACGAGGAGGAUCAGUAUCUAAGAUUUAUUUGCUGAUUAGUUCCAAGAUUGUGUGGCACGGAAGCUGAAAUGGAAAUGGUGCUACCACUUGGUGAAAUUGUUGUAGUUCCAAUGCAUGCAACAAUUGGAGAAUGCACUAUUGGACACGUACUGUAUAACAGAUGAAUUUGUGUUGAUGGAGAUUUUAGAGCGGAGGAUGAGGAAUUUCUUUUUGGAGCAGUUGAGUCAGGUGUAGAGCUAUGUGUGAGAGGGACCGGGAUAGGCUUGUAGAAUCGUCUGAGGUAUGAUGGUGGGGCUGACAAUUGGGUUGCGAAAUGCGAAUGUGGUGCUCAAAAUGAUGAUGGGGAGAGGAUGGUGGAAUGUGAUCUUUGUGAGGUCUUAAAAAGUAGUUACUAUAAAUGUUAUCUCUCACGAGAGCUUGACCUUCCCUUCUUCAACAGUCCGAGAGGAUCUUGGACAAAGGAUUACCGACUUCGCGAGACCAUUUCGAUCUACUCAUGGCGUUGCUCUAUGGGUCCUUGCUUUCUCGAUCAACUAACUUCGUGCUGAAGAAAGACAGUUCCUUGAAAUUCUUGUAUUGUACCUUGAGGGUACACUGAACACCAACUUAAUCUCGAUAAAUAGAGGUCAAAGCAAUUACAUCAUACAAGUCAGAAGUAAUGCUUUCUACGCUAUUGGCAUACCUGGAAUCUUGCCCAAAAUCCUUUCUUAUCUUAGGAAAUAUCUCCUCUUUAUUCUAAUUCACUUGCUAAGAGCUUCUUGGGUGGGAUGAUGCUCAUUGAACUUGACUCCACCGAUAGAAUAGAGGUGCAUAGCCCGGCGAAAUAAGGUUUUACCUAAGGACGGUUGCUAUGCGAAUGCCUAACCUACUCGCUAACUCGAGUCCAAAAACUAAGGCAAUAAUCAUUGUUCACCGACGGAAGCGAAGCAAGACAACUAGCUAGCCAACGGAGGCGUUAAGCGGCUAGAGGUCGUACGCUGACAAGCCCAAUCCAACGGAAGGGAGCCUCUAACUUGCCUGACCAAAGGAGAAGAAAAGAAGAGUAGUUGAAAAGGAAGGAGUACGAUCAUCAUCUUAUGGAAUGGGAUUUGCUUUAGCUAAAAUUUAGGAAUGCCCUGCGAUUAGCCUCAAGGCUAGGUUCAGGUCUGGCUACUACCGCAUUACUAUGAGAGAUGCGAUUCUGGAUUUUCCCUAGUGAACGAGGGGCGGCUGCGCUUCUCUCUUAUGGAUAAAGGCAGGGCGAAAGGUCUAACCUAUAUGCCAUCUCACAUGGACCCCAGCUGAGUAAUGAACUGUAGAAAGAGCGAUCAUCCACGCCCCCACGAAGACCAAACGAACUCUCGCUAUAGUAAAGGCAUGAUUGGAGGCGUUUAGAAAUGACUUGAGCUAAUGCUAUUGACACUAAACUAUCCUCCAAAGAGGAGCUAGAAAAAUAGGGCGCAGACUUGCCCAGCCAUAAUACACGAGGUUCAUGCUUAGCCGAGCGGGUCUCUCUCAAGGUUGACAAAGAAGGAUAAGAGAAGCGGUACGUUUCAUUUAGAAUUGAGGAUUCUAUCUCAAGGAGUCUGGCUUCAGAAAAUUCCACCUUUCCCUAAGGACAUAAAAAGCAGAAUUCAAUUCUAUACAAUGCUUAUCUACCAAACACUUAUACUCACAACGUGAAACUGUCAAUGCAACUUUUUUUCCAUUUUGCCAUCUACUAGCGACACUUAGUGUGCGAACGAUGCUCCUACAGCUACUUCUCCGAAAAAAGAGUCAUCGUAGGUACUUGUUGUUGCACUAAUGAUCUAAUAAUCGAAAGAGACACCGGAAUCGAACCUUUGCUUAGGGUUGGAAACAGAGCCAUCCACUCUCAAAAAAACCUAGCACCAAAUCUAUCAAUCAAUGAGACCUACCAACAACGUAGGAAUAGUGGAGGGAUCCAAAUGGCUGCCACCGACGACAGCCAGGCUUCCUAUUAGAUUAGAAUCGGAACAAUGGUCGCCGUGAAGAGGCGAAUGAACAAUUGAAUAUGAGAACCGGCUGAAGUAUCUUCCAAAGCAUGACCAACCCCCUCUGACGGAGAGGGAGCUAUCACAGUUGUCAAAUCAACUGCAUCAGGUACAGCUGCGUGCCCUGAAGAAAUCCCAAGUAUUUUGGCUAGACGAGGUACACUUUCACUUACCAGCUGCGGUAAAGACUCCAUUAGUUGUGGUAGAGUUUCACCUAUAGAGCCUGUAUAAAAAUUAUAGCAUAGCAUGUAAGCAAAACAAAAAGUAAAUGUUAGACCAGUUAGAUAAAAGACAAGUCACCUUGCCCAAGAAGACCCCACUACAUGAGGCAUGCCAAGCCCCUUUUCGUCUCAGUUCCUUCACUUGAUGCGCUUGAACCUGCGUUAUUGAUGUUGUUGGCUUUGAUCUAGCCUAUUUAUGAGGGGACGAGUCUUUUUCAACCUGUGGGGGCUGAUACGAAUUCCCAUUUGUCUCAUUCAAUUACGGGCUACUUAGAAGAAAAAAGUAAAACUAAAUUGAUAAGGCUCAUUCCGACCGACGAAUAACGAUGAGAUGCCUGCAACUAAGAAGAAAAGGCUGGGGCGAGUUACCUCAUAGCAACCAACCACUGGUGCUACUUGCAUGGGCCUCUACCCCUAACGUUAGUAGCGGAGACCCACCUCGAACAACUAAGUAAAUCAGAAAGCCGGGAUGGUAGACAACUCCUUCCUUCAACCUUCCCAACGAAGCUCUCGAUCUUUAUCCUCAGUUUCCCCAAGGCUUGCUUCUAUGUGACCCGACUUAUCUGUUCCUGACGACCCGCCUACGGAUGGAUGGCCCGUGGGAUUACUUGAGUUGUCCGCUGACCGAAGUGUGGGAUCCGAUCAAGUGUGUGCCUUCCACCAACAACUUGACUGACGAACUGGUAGUUCAUAUAUGUCACUUAUAGCUAAGCUAUUCGGCUAGCUCUCGAAUCGAUAGACCACCAAUUUCUUUCUCAGUCGAUGGGGUUCCCUUCUUCUUGGUCACUGAGGAGCUUUUAGGCCCUUUUGCAGCUAUUCCAUAUGGGGAUGAAUCUAGGACAAAUAUUCUUUUAGAUGUGGCAUUAGCGGUCUUUGCUAUUGGAGUUCUUUGCCCAUCUAUUGAAUCUUACUCUAGAAAAUCCUUCUCAUGAACUAGACAAAGAAGAGAGAAUCGUCCGCUUUCAAGGUAACUAGUUAGUGGCGGCUGAUUACCAGUGUGACAUGGAUCUUCCCUUUAUCUCUGAGGUGCGGUUAGGUUCUGGGGCCAGAUCUGGUCCCGCAGUGGGCUUGGCCUCUGUAACGAAUCUAGCAACUUCUCUCAGCUGGUAGCCCCUCUUCUCUUAAUGGUUGGAUCCCUCUGCCCUAGGCAUGCUCCACUAAAAACCAUUUAUGGGGAGCUUAGGAACCAACCUUUGACUUCUUAUUCUUCAUCAGAAUCUUCUUUCUCUUCGUAAAAACCCCUGCCUUUGGUUGUUGCGCCCAAAAGAUAUGGCUCAGCUUCUUAUGAUCCCCCUUCCAUAGUUACUUCGCCCUUUCCUGGAUGUCUUGGUUCGUUUUUUGCAUUUUCCCUGGCUCCAAAGAUAAAAGAUAGAGUCAGCAUUAAAUCUUGAAAGAAGAAUCGAGUCAAUCAGAUACCCAAUACAUCUUAACGUAGAAUAGGGAGGUAUAAAUCUUUGCAAUUAGGCUUAGCGGGGGUGCUACUCACCGGUCACAGAUUGGAGCUAUACCUCUCAUUUUUUGUAUAGAAGAAGGAGGUCGGAAUAAGGCCUUACCCAAAUUUAUUUAAAAUAAGACCCACCGGAUCUUGGGAUUUUCCCAGUCUCAUGCUGAGGGGCCAGUAAGGUAAACAAGUACUCCUCCUUGCCGUAACUAUACUAAUAAAAAGGUAAUUCACUUCGAAAUAAGCUUUUCAUAUAUGUUGUUGGAGGAGAUUCCAUGGCAUCCUUUAAAAGAGAUUGGGUUGGUGCAAAUUGGUACUAAGGUACCAAGAUCGAACAUAGAAAAGAGAAGGAAGCUUCCCCUUUGCCGAUUUGACCAGGGCAUCUGAAAGCUAUUUUGUGGAUGUCUUCUUCAGCUAUGAAGAUUUGGUUAUAUAUAGAGUGCCCAUCCAUGAAGGAUAGCAACUCAUAACCAGCAGCCUUCGCACCAAGCCUCACCGCCCCUGCCUACGGUUGAACAACCUGCUUUUCUUUUUAAAAGAAAAAGAAGGUUAUUUCAGUCUAAGACUUUCGCCUACCGGAGGGUCACCUACUGAUUCUGAUCUCUAUUAUAGAUCGAGGGAGUGACGAAGGAACAGAAAGUCACUCGACCGCAGAGAGAGGAGCAUGUCAUAGGGAGGAACUAGCUCUACUAUAGUACUAGUAUAACUGGAACAGACCAUAGUUUGACAACCUUCGCUUUCCAAUCACCUAUCGACUAGCUGCAAGUCAACCGCUAUCUACUAUUGGCUUUACUGGCUCUUAUUAAACCUUCCCUCUCGAUGGUCAAAGAAUUCAUUCUAACAUAACAGGCAAGAAGGGACCUCCCUGCCUCGCGACAAGUUAACUAGAGGAAUGUCAGGUGAUUUUUCAAGGAGGCGGUUGAAAGACCGACCUUGAGAGGACAUUCUCUUUCUUGAGCUUUCAUGGGUUAAGAUCGAAUUGCACAUCCAUCUUACUCUAUCGACAGCCCAGCCAGAUGAAGGAUCAAGGAAAUCGUGUGUUCCAAUGAUGGUUCCUGCAUAGACAUUAAUACACAUUUUUAAGGCAUGAAUUAGUGGCCACUUAAUGCUAACAUCUUGCAAAUAUUCGCAAAGCAAUUCUUGCUACACACUCAAGCAUGAAAAUCUGAUAUCCUAUCAAAAAUGAAUUAGAUAUAACUAACUAAAAUAAUCUAAAAUGAAUAACUAAAAAGUCAAUGGAGAUAGAAAUAAUGGUUGUCUCCCAUCCAGCGCUAAGUUAUAGUCAAUUAGCUUGACUUUAUCUGAAUCUCACGUCACAUCAAGAAUUGAGGUGCCUUCCUUAUUGUCCAACGCACCCCAAAAUUUAAUGACUUCAGCUUUCAUCAAUGGAUCUAACUUCAACUCUGAAUUUUCACCCGUUUCACACCUCAACGAUUCGUAAUUCCCCAGUUUCUGCACCUCAUCCUUUAGGCCGCAAUCCACCAAGUCAACCAGAAAACAUUCUUCUUCAUCUGUUGGGAGCUUCAUGGCUUUGAAGACAUCUAAGGUGACCUCUUGAUCAUGUACACGCAUAGUGAGUUCCCCUUUCUACACAUCUAUCAAAGUCUUGCCUGUGGCUAAGAAUGGUCUCCCCAGUAUAAUCGGUAUGCUCUUGUCUUCCUCAUAGUCUAAGAUGAUGAAGUCAGCUGAAAAUAUAAACUUUUCCACCUUUACCAACACAUCUUCAACAAUUCCAUGUGGAUACGUGAUGGAUCUGUCAACUAGAUGUAAUGAUAUGUUUGUCGGCCUUGGAACCGGCAAUCCCAACUGAUUAAACACUGACAAGGGCAUCAAAUUUAUGCUUGCCCCAAGAUCACAUAAACACUUAUUAAAGCUUGUCUUCCCUAUUGUGCAUGGAAUUAUGAAGCUACCCGGAUCCUUCAACUUUGGAGGUAAUUUCUGCUGCAGCACUGCACUGCACUCCUCAGUCAAGGCUAUCAUUUCAAAUUCAUCUAGUCUUCUCAUCCUUAACAAUAUACCCUUCAUAAACUUUGCAUAGCUUGGCAGUUGUUCCAAUGCCUCGGUGAAUGGUAUGUUUAUCUGCAACUUUUUGAAUACCUCCAAGAACCUGCUAAACUGUUUGUCAUCCCUCUGCUUAGUUAAUCUUUGCGGAUAUAGAACUUGAGGGUGAAUUGGUGGUACUAAACUCUUGAGUUUCUCCUCUGAACCUGCUGUAUCCUUCUCGACCUGCUGUAUCCUUCUCGACCUGUUGCGACUCAGAUUUUUUUAGAUUUUCUUCAUCAACAGUCAACUGUUCUGCCUCGCGCGGCCGCCCAUCUUCCUUAGUAUUCUCAGGCGCGGGCGCGUGACUUACAUUGUCUGCCAGAUUUUUCCCAGAUCUUAAUGAUAUUGCUUGGCACUGUUCCUUUCAAUCUCUUCUUGGAUUUGUCUCUGUAUUGCUUGGAAAGGAACCUUAGGGCCUAUUAUUAAGCACACUCGCCAUUUGUCCCAUCUGCGUCUCCAAAUUCUUAAUAGCCGCUGCUUGGCUUUUGAUGAAUAUCUCCGUAUUUGCCAUGUACUUCAACAUCAUCUCCUCCACUUUCGAUUUCUUUUCCUGCUGAGGUGUAGCUGGAGUAUGAUGUUGUUGUUGUUGUUGAGCCAAUCCCAGCGGAAAUAGUGGUUUUGAUGUAAACUGUGGCUGAGAUAACUAUGGCUGAAACUGUUGAGUCUGCUGAAACUGAUUCUGCUGAUGUCCUUGGUUAUUCGACUAACUAAAGUUCGGAUGAUUGUGGUUGUUGGGGUGGUAUGUGUUCUGAAAUUGACCUUGGUCUUUCCUGUAGUUGCUCACAUACUGUACCGACUCUGAACUGAUAGCACACUGAUCCGUGGAGUGUGACCACGCACAAAUCUCACAAAGGAAGGUAACUUUUUUCAUUUUGCUCUCUGCUAUUGUGUCUAUCUUCUUUGUCAUCACUGCCAUCUGUGCCGACAAUUGUGUAAUAGCAUCUACCUCCAACACACCUGCUACUUUGGGUUGUGACAUCCGAGAUGUAGGAUUCUGAAAGUCAUUAGCUGCCAUAGUCUCAAUAAGUGUAUAGGCUUUGUCAUAACUUUUUGCCCAUAAUGCCCCUCCUACAGCUGCAUCUACAAUCGGUCUCGACUGCCAUCCUAAUCCGUUGUAAAAAGUAUUGAUUACCAUCCAAUCUGGCAUACCAUGAUGCGGACACUUCCUCAACAUCUCUUUAUAUCUCUCCCAUGCUUCAUAUAAGGACUCUCCCUGUUGUUGCUCAAACUGACAAAUAGAUGUCCUCAUCUUUACAGUCUUAGCCAUUGGGAAGAACUUGGCUAAGAAUUUUUGUGCUAAGUCCUCCCACGUAGUGAUUGACCCUGACGGCAAAGAAUGAAGCCAACUUCUCGCCUUAUCCCUCAAUAAGAAUGGGAACAACCUCAGUCUAAUAGCAUCCUCUAUCACACCGUUAUAUCGGAAUGUGUCACAAAUCUCUAUGAAGCUCAAUAAGUGUUCAUUCGGAUCAUCCGUAGCAGCACCCCCAAACUAAACUGAGUUCUGCACCAUCUGAAUAGUGUAUGGUUUUAUCUCAAAAGUGUUCACUGCUAUGGCCGGUCUGACUAUGCUCGACUGUAGCCCAUUUAUAUUUGGCAUGGAAUAGUCCCUUAGAGCCUUAUGCUCUUCUCUUUGUUCUUCUGCCAUAUCUGGUAUAGUACUUUCCAACUGUGCUUGUAAAUUUCUUCGCACACCUGCUUUCCAACCUUUUCCGUUUAUGUUAUCCUGCGCUGGUGUUAAUUCGUAAUGAGAUGAUCGCGUGUGCAUAAAAAUCUACAAGUACCUGGAAUCACAACAAAACAAAAAUAGAAAUGAGAUAAGAUUAGAUAUGUUUAAAUCAUACAAGAUAGCUUAAAAUUGAUGAUAAUUAUUUAAACUAAACGCCUUUCCCCGGCAACGGCGCCAAAAACUUGUUUCCUCUUUUUCAGUUAUGACAAAAGAGCUCUAACUCAUGCAAGCAUACAUGUGUCAACAAGUAAUACAAAGUAAGUAAAGUAUCGAUCCCACAGAGAAAGUUGUUCAAUUUAAACUACUAUUCAUCAAUCAAAUCACUAUUUCUAUAUGCUUAAACUAAAGAUCAAAAGUGUGAAUUAUUCUAUUUGCAAAUAAGAACUAAAAUGAGAAUAAGAAUGGAAUAAAUCAAAUAUGGAAUUAAUGGAAUCCUAACUUCAUUUAAUAUUUCAUCUAGUUACCACUAUCAUGCAAGAAUUGUUCACAUAUCAUAGGAAAAUAGUCGAGAGCACUAAUAGAGUCAUAGCCAUUUUUCAAUGCACUAGGACCUACUUACACAGCAUCCACAGAUGAUAGACUCUAUGUAAUCAACAAUAUAACCAAAAUCACUAUAUGUCUAUGUGAAAUUGCAAUCAUACUGAAUUUAAGCACAAGCCCUUAUUUUAACUCAUACGGUAAAUAAGUAUAUGUCUAUCUCAUUCACGAAAUACGCAAGCCAUAUACAACAGCCCCAUAUACGUAUGCUAUUAUGACUACACUCCAUACUCGCAUGUUCAUUGUCAAUUCCAUACAAGUACUGAAAUGAAUGGUGAUCAAGCAUUCAUACAUGUAAAACAACCAUAAUAGAAUUCCCAUAUGAUAUAUAAAACAGCCCUAGCAAGCAAGCAUGCAACCAAACUACAUAUUAAAAUCCGUUAGAAUCCUAUAAUGGAGUUUAGUUCAUAACUAAACCAAAAGCCAUUAUGGGAUCAAAGUUAAACAUGAUUAUCAAGCAAACAAUUGAAAGAUGAAAGAUAGAGCGAUCAAACCCAAUUGUAGAUUGUAAACCAAUAUCAACGUUCAAAUCCUCAUAUAAAUCCAGAAAAACAAUAUUAUAAAUCCACAAUGAUGGAGAAUCCCAAGAAGAAUUAGAGAAGAUGGAGUUUAGGCUUCGUUCUUCGUUGGAAUCUCUCUCACGUGUAAACCCUAGUUAAUAUGGUGAAAAAAAUGUCAUAGUUGUCCAAUUUUGUCUGACACCAGUCAGAUAUCGUUUAAAACAAAUUACAACCCUUUUAAUUAAAAAUUAAAAUAAAAUAAAUAAACAACUUCAACAUCGCGCGCGGCCGCACGCCCCUCCAAUAUGUUCCUCGCGUGGGCGCGAGACUUGCAAUAUGUAUGCUCUGUCCAGUCGAGUGCUCGCGCGAGCACGCGCUCUCAAGGCUAUUAUGUCGCGCGGCCGCGCAGCUUGCAGUCUACAAAUUCUGGUUCUGCUUCUGAUUCUGUCAUGCUGCUGCUACUGCUACUUGUUCAUUCUUUUCCUUCCUUCAUUAUUAGUCCCUCCGCUUCACUGCAUGCUCAUGCCGUGCAUCCGUUAGCCUCAAACCAUGCGUCCAAUCGCCUCUUGCCAUCCAACACCACCAAAUUAGGCCAUUUCCUGCACUUUUUCACCAAAAGGAGUUUUAAGUACAUGCAAUGCAAAAUAACAUGAAAUGAAACUAAAAUAGACUGAAAUGUACUUGAGAUGGGCAUAAUCCGCUUAAAUUGAUAUCCAAUAAGCAGGUAUAAAACCCACUUAUCAAAUUCCCCCAAACUUGAACUAUUGCUUGCCCUCAAGCAAUGCAUGAUAAAUAACAAAGAAAAAUGCAAAAGCACUACUAUGCAGCUAAACUCUUAUGCAAACUAGUCUCACAUCAUUCCAACUUAAACAAAAUAUAAGCCAAAAAUGCCUCAGCGAAUUAUCCAGAUUCAGGAAUACAAGUUCAAACUAAACGAUGGUCAUAACAUCAUACACUCAGAUAAUUCAUACGUGCUAUAGAGAUGUUGUGUGUGUGUGUGUAGUGUUCACCAAAACUUGAUUCCAGCAAAGAAUAUAUAUACUAACAUGCUCGAAGCAGAAAAUUAUAGCCUAAAUUGAGAAUCAUAUAUACUUAUACAAUGCAAACUAUUUCUCAUAUCUAAACAAACUAAAGUUCAACAAUGGGUUUAAUUGCUUUAUUGCUACUCACGAGGGUGAUUUUGGCUCUUUCCCGAGGUGUUUAUUGCUAUUUUCUUUUCUUUUUCCCUUUUUCUUCUUUUUUUUUAUAUACAUGACUGUGCAAUGCCUUAUUCCAUUAGGAAACACUGCUACCCUUUAGCGAGCUUUCAACCAAUGACUCCCAGACCAUGAAAGACCUUAGGGCGCUAGGUGUAGAGACAAUCCCCUCGGGCGUACUUACUCAAGUAGCCAAGGCCCCGAAAAAAGACUAGCUAUGUUAUUGUUAUUCAUUAUUUUUUAUUUUUUUAUUUUUUUUUUAUACAUAACAUACCCAUGUUUUCCUAAAGUUUGAAUGUCAAUGUUUGUCAAGUCUACAUGCAUGUUCCACAUAUUUCUCUUUUUAAAACUACAUUUUCUAACAAGAAAUGCAACAUAUAACUCUUAGGCCUACAAGUGAUUGUGAACACACCCAUUCAAACCGAAAGCAUUUAAAUAACAACCUGAAUUCCAUCGUGUAAAACAUUAUAACUACGUUCAUGUAUAUAUUCAAGAAUCCUUCACAAUUCACUAUCAUCAUUGGCUAGGUAAGAAAUUCCAUAAAACAAGAACUUUGUGAGACAUGCAAAUUAACUAAAACAAAAAAAAUUUCUACCAAUAAAAAAAUAACACCAAAAACAACUAAAUUGUUAAACUAACCAUGCAACAUUUUAACUAAACAUGAAAAAACUAACUACAUGCUACUAUACUACUCCCUAAUACCCCUAAACUUAUAAUAUUCAAUGCCCCAUUGAAUGAAGGUAAAGGGUACAAGAAAACUCCCCUAAUGAUCGGCUUGACCACCCUCCUCGGGUGGUGAANNNNNNNNNNNNNNNNNNNNNNNNNNNNNNNNNNNNNNNNNNNNNNNNNNNNNNNNNNNNNNNNNNNNNNNNNNNNNNNNNNNNNNNNNNNNNNNNNNNNCUUAUAUCAAGUUUCUUCUAAUGUAAGGGGUAUUAUUUCUUUUGUAUUCAUGAAGAGAACUUCUGUUAUUCCAUUCUUUAUUAUUAUGUUGAAAUAACCUAUCUAUGCGAAGUACCGCAUACAUGGUGAAAUUCUUCUGUUAUUCCAUCCUUUAUUAUUCUAUUGGAACAUCUUGUCGGUGCGAAUUUUGCCUGACCUGGUUCCGUUAUUUAUUAUUCUGUUGGAAUAUCCUGUCUAUGCAUUUACGCAUGACCUGGUUCCAUUAUUUAUUAUUCUGUUAGAAUAACCGGUCUAUGCGGUCUAUCGCAUGCCUGGUAAUUUCUUUUGUUAUUCCAUUCUUUAUUAUACUAAGUUGGUUAAAGUUUUAAUUUCUAUACUCCAUGAAAUUAGUGGAAUAUCCUUGAUAUUUGCGCUUCAUCCAGUAUCUUUUCAUGGAAAUAUUCUUCUGAGCAUUCUUGAAUUUUACUCUACAAAGAAGUAUCAUGUUGACAAUUUGGACGUUAUUAGUUCCUGGAUAAAUUAAUUCUUGAACUUGUUUUAUUGAAUUCUUAUAUCAUUGUCAUCAUCCUCAUGUUUAUAUUAUGUUGAAAGUCAUCUGUGGCCUGUAGUGCAUAGAUGGACUUGGUAUGAUUAUGACCAGGGAUUAAUCGGUAUAAUCAUGAUCGUAAUGUUACAAAUGAUGUGGUAAAAGUCCUCAUUGCCCCGUAGUGCAUUGAGGGAAGUUGUUGGCAUGAUCAUGACCAUUGAUGAAUACACAAAUAUCCUUGGCCCAUAGUGCAUGGAUAAUUUGUGGUCGUGAUACUAAUGAAUAUUCUUGGCCGUAGUGCAGGGAUGAUGUGGAUUAUUUAUUAAGCUGAGUCCCAGCGAUAAAAGUGAUGAAAAAAUUUUUAAAAUCAUAAAAGAUAGUAGAUUUUAUUCUCUACUUGACUCUUUUAAUGGAUUGCUUGUUUCGCUACAGUUAAACUUGAUGUUUGUUAUAUUAUAUCAGUUUAACACUGUUGAAGGCUAACGAUAAUUUAUUCUGCAUUAUCUUAGUCAUAAUAUUUCUUAUUGGGCUAGUUGAGCUCACCCUUUUACUUUCAUUGUUCUCUUCAGGAAAUGAGAACGUAGCAGGGACUAGUCGGGGAACGGAGUGACGGUCCAUAUAAUAGCAUUAGUAAUCCUCACCAUUCUGUUAAAUAGUGUGAUAAUAAAUGUAAUGAGGACUCAAUUGAGUGUGGAUAUUGUCUAGAUGACAAUAUUUGUAUUAAAACUCACAGCAUAUGUUUUGUCAUAUUUUACACGACUGUUGUAUAAUUAAGUUGUAUUUGAAUUUUGUACCAUGUAUUUGGCGACUCAGAAUAGGUGAUGUAUACCUAUUUUGGGGGCGUCACAUUAACCACUCGUACUUGUGACACCCCCAAAUCUAGGUACUUCAUUCCCUAAAG
rnacentral:lncRNA from 1 species